rnacentral:rRNA from 1 species
CAGCCGCCGCGGGAAUACGUAGGGUGCGAGCGUUAAUCGGAAUUACUGGGCGUAAAGCGUGCGCAGGCGGUUGUGUAAGACAGGUGUGAAAUCCCCGGGCUCAACCUGGGAACUGCGCUUGUGACUGCACAGCUAGAGUAUGGCAGAGGGGGGUGGAAUUCCACGUGUAGCAGUGAAAUGCGUAGAGAUGUGGAGGAACACCGAUGGCGAAGGCAGCCCCCUGGGCCAAUACUGACGCUCAUGCACGAAAGCGUGGGGUGCAAACAGGAUUAGAUACCCCUGUAGUCCCUGUCUCUUAUAC